rnacentral:rRNA from 1 species
CCAAUAGCGUAUAUUAAAGUUGUUGCAGUUAAAAAGCUCGUAGUUGAAUUUCGGGGUUAGUAGGUUGGUCAUGCCUCUGGUAUGUACUGGUCUCACUGAUUCCUCCUUCCUGAUGAGCCGUAAUGCCAUUAAUUUGGUGUUGCGGGGAAUUUGGACUGUUACUUUGAAAAAAUUCGAGUGUUUAAAGCAGGCUCACGCUUGAAUACAUUAGCAUGGAAUAAUGAAAUAGGACGUUCGAUCCUAUUUUGUUGGUUUCUAGGAUUGACGUAAUGAUUAAUAGGGAUAGUUGGGGGCAUUAGGAUUCAAUUGUCAGAGGUGAAAUUCUUGGAUUUAUUGAAGACUAACUACUGCGAAAGCAUUUGCCAAGGAUGUUUUCAUUAAUCAAGAACGAAAGUUAGGGGAUCGAAGACGAUCAGAUACCGUCGUAGCCUUAACCAUAAACUAUGCCGACUAGGGAUCGGAUGAUGUUAAUUUUUUAAUGACUCAUUCGGCGCCUUACG